UCACUCUGCCUGUCUGUUUUCUCAAUGAUAACUUGGCAGGAGAAGGGGGAAGCUACCAGGUUGGGGCUGGUUGUUGUUGGGGGGUUUUUUGGUUUCUUUCUUUCUUUCCCCGGGCUCAUGCUACAUGGUACGUGCACGUCUCUGGGCAUGCCUGGCGUGUGGCUCCGCAGCGAUGCAGGCGCACAUGUGUGUGCCUCUGCCCGCUUGCAGGGGGGGGACUGCGCUCUCCGAGUGCUGUGCUGCCUUCGCGGGGAUGGAGUCGCUGUGUGUGCUGCUGCUGCUGCUGCUCCUGCUGCUGGAGGAGGAGGAAUCAGGCAUGCGUUCAUCUUUUUGUCUUUCAUUUUACCUUCAGGGUGACAUUCAGGGCCGUGGUCACCGCCAAGCCCCACCUGGGGAAAUCAAGGGGGCACCGGCGGUGGGGUAGGGGGAGCAGGUGCCUCCUGCAAGAAGCGGGCUCGUCGCCCACCGCCAGGAAAAAAGACAACGAGCCAUUUUCUCCGCUGAAGGGGAAGAGCGGCAGAAAUGCCAGAUGAAUGCACUUGUCUCUAGGAUGCAGGCAGCGCCUAGGCCUAACUCAAAAGGUGCUUUCUGCCCCUUAGAAAUUUGCUUUCAAGCCCAUUAGGAGGGAGGGGGGGGAGCCGUGAGUGCAUCCCUGUGGGCCUGCGUUCAGUUUAGGGAGCACUAGCGUUCCUGCUAGGGUGAACGCGGCAGAGCUGAAAGGGAAACAGAGCUGGCAUUUUGAGAGCGGAGGAAGCUCUUCGUACAGAAAGCAAAAAAGAAAAUCCAAAACAGCCUUGACCAAAGAUUACCAGCAGUUAAUCUGGUACUGCAACCAGCUGCAAGGCUUCCGGAAAAAAAGACUGAGUUCUGAAAAGCUUCGUGCAUGCGUUCGUUAAUAAAUGCUGUUUGCAUAAAUCCAGUGAGGGCCCAAUGGGGCGCCUCUCCCUUUGGAAGUUGAAGGCCCAGAUCCUGGGAACGCAUGUGUGGCCUCGCUCAACUCAUGGGACUUCUCACAUGUGCGAAUGUACUCGCGUGCAUCAGUGUUUGCAGGACUAGGCCUGAUUUUGCAACCUCAACCAUAAUUUGGGUUUUUGAAUGGAAUGGCAUGUGCACCCCGGCGCUUGACAUGCCAAAAAUCGAUGGUUAUGCGACGUAAAAAAAUGCCUGCUUGUAGAAGUCUGGAAUUAAAAAGUUGAGUUGAACAGAAAUGCAGCUCUGCGGUGUGGCACUUCCUUGUGCCUUUCGUUACCUUUUCCUAUAGCAGGUCAUAUAAUACCUACGCAUUUAACCAGGAAAAAUGCAAUUCACGAAUGAUCUGUAUGUGUUAAUGUGGCCAAUAUCCAGCUAUUGCAAUUUUACUUUUUUGCAUUUCCUGACUUUGUUAUUUUAUCUGUGUCCUUAACAUGAGCAUUAACGUUUUUUUUUAAUUUAAUUUCCCAGGUUUUUAUGUGAAAUAGGAGGGGGAAAAAAGAACAUUGCCUGUGCUUAAUAAUGUUUUUAGCGUUUAACUGGUGUACAUUAAAUUUUGCUGUUUGUGUCUUACUGAGGAGAGAUUCUUACUUUUCCUGCUGCUGAAAGAGUUUUCUGCAAGGCUGGGUUAAUAGGGCAACAGAACAUUGUUUUUCAUUGCAAUGCCUGUAUCUUUCGGGGGGGACACCCUUUUUUUUUUAAGUGGUGAAAACCCAGAAUUUUCCGAAUAUGGACAGAAACCAAUAUGAAAUGAGACAUCCAUAGGCUUUUUUUAAAUGCCCAAGUUUAUUUUCUAGUUUCUGAUAGGAAAGCCAAUUUUUCCUGAGUUUUUUUAAAACAUAUUUUGCAGCGUAUUCAAAUGAGAUAUUUCCAGUCUCCUUCAGGUAAAGUGCCUUGGAGCAAAACAAUGGAUUGCUGGAAAAGAUUGAGAAGGAUUUUGAAAUAUAAUAUACAGGCUGGUCCCUGACUGUGUUUUAAUUUUAAACAAGACUUUUUUUUGUGGAAAGUUUUUUUUUGUUUUUUUUUAAAGUCAGAGGUAUGCUGUGGCUCCCCCAGGAGUAAGUGACUGUUGCUCAGCACCUCUCAGGAGCUGAAUCUCUGAGCAGAUUUUGAAUGUGGGACCUGUUGUGCACAAAUUAAUUUUUAAAGUAGGUUUCAGAAGAAACCUAUCUGUGUAAUAUAUAUAUAAUUAUCAUGAAAGGAAAUGAGUAGGCUAGCAUCUCCCAAAACAACACUGAAGAAAUUGGUCAGCCUUUGCAAGUCAGGCAUUACCUAUAGGCCCAGGUUCAGCCUGGGUGAAAUCUCUGGAGUUUUGCCCAUUUACAGCAUAGUUAACUUUGGCCUACAGAGUCAUUCAGCUGUUUACUCUUUUCAGAGCAGCCUAGCUUACUUUUGCAAGCAUUUUAAAGUCCACUACAUCUUCCCCAGCGUGAAUAAAAUAAGUUAUAAAUCAGCCAUUUUUCACGUAGGCCAGUCCUGCUGUAUUUCCUAUACCAAAUGUUGGGUAUGUCUACAUGGCAGAUGAAAGUUUGAAUAGGCUUACCUACCCUAGCUUUAAUCUAACUAGCACAGUAACAAGAGUGAAAAUGUGGUGACAUUUUCAGGACAGGCUGUAAAAGCCCACCAAAGACCCUGGACAGGUUGCAAGCCAAUUCUAAAGCCUGAUGAUAUUUUUAUUGCUAUUAAUAUUCAUGUUACCAGGAUUAACAGUAGCGGGGGUACAGGUACCUGUGCUGCAGUUGCAUCUUCAUUUGCUGAAGAUCUUUAUGUACCUACGAAAGUUACUCUGGAAUAAAGUUGUACAUGAAUUUAAAACAAAAUUAAUCUGGAAUGGCCCUCUGUAGAUACUCUUAUUCUGGAAUAAGACAGCCUUUUUCUAGUUAAUCUUAAACCAUAUUGAAAAGGAGUAAGAGUAUCCAUGCAUGGAAUUAGUCAGGCACAUCUACUUUGGUAAAUUUACUCUAGAAACUGUUCCUGCAAAAACUAUGCCAAAGACAAGUCCUUCGGUGACAGGUAGUCCAGCAUAUGGAAAAAAGUCAGGGGACUCGUUUGGAGUCAGUUGAUACUGUAAAGGUAAUUUAGACCAAAAUUUGAUUUGUUUUCCAUUUCUUUGCACAGUAUUUCAGUAUCUUAAAUUUGAGAGUAUUUUGUGUGUUUGUGUAUUUAUGAAUAAAAAAAAUAGCUGUGUAUUUAUGAACAAUUUCACAAUAAAUCUCUGUGUAACUUACAAAA